rnacentral:rRNA from 1 species
AUGCAAGUCGAACGCAGUAGCAAUACUGAGUGGCAAACGGGUGAGUAUAAUGUGGGAAUCUGCCUUUUGGUUUGGAAUAACACGGGGAAACUUGUGCUAAUACCGAAUAAGCCCUUACGGGGAAAGUUUUAACGCCGAAAGAUGAGCCCGCACUUGAUUAGCUAGUUGGUAAGGUAAUAGCUUACCAAGGCAAUGAUCAAUAGCUGUUCUUAGAGGAAGACCAGCCACAUUGGGACUGAGACACGGCCCAGACUCCUACGGGAGGCAGCAGUGGGGAAUCUUGCACAAUGGGGGAAACCCUGAUGCAGCGAUGCCGCAUGAGUGAAGAAGGCCUUUGGGUUGUAAAACUCUUUCGUCGGGGAAGAAAAUGACUGUACCCGAAUAAGAAGGUCCGGCUAACUUCGUGCCAGCAGCCGCGGUAAUACGAAGGGACCUAGCGUAGUUCGGAAUUACUGGGCUUAAAGAGCUCGUAGGUGGUUAAAAAAGUUGAUGGUGAAAUCCCAAGGCUCAACCUUGGAACUGCCAUCAAAACUUUUUAGCUAGAGUGUGAUAGAGGUAAGUGGAAUUUCUAGUGUAGAGGUGAAAUUCGUAGAUAUUAGAAAGAACACCAAAUGCGAAGGCAACUUACUGGGUCACUACUGACACUGAGGAGCGAAAGCAUGGGUAGCGAAGAGGAUUAGAUACCCUCGUAGUCCAUGCCGUAAACGAUGUGUGCUAGACGUUGGAAAUAUAUUUUUCAGUGUCGCAGCGAAAGCAUUAAGCACACCGCCUGGGGAGUACGACCGCAAGGUUAAAACUCAAAUGAAUUGACGGGGACCCGCACAAGCAGUGGAGCAUGUGGUUUAAUUCGAAGAUACGCGCAGAACCUUACCAACACUUGACAUGUUCGUCGCGAGCCUAAGAGAUUAGGCUUUUCAGUUUGGCUGGACGAAACACAG